rnacentral:rRNA from 1 species
CGCCUCCAUGAAGUUGGAUUCGCUAGUAAUCGCGCAUCAGCCAUGGCGCGGUGAAUACGUUCCCGGGCCUUGUACACACCGCCCGUCAAGCCAUGGGAGCCGGGGGUGCCUGAAGUUCGUGACCGCAAGGAGGCGACCUAGGGCAAAACUGGUGACUGGGGCUAAGUCGUAACAAGGUAUC